UUGGGUCUGUUGAAUGAUUGAUUGUUCCUGACGAGGAACUGGCGAGCCACCGCUCGGAACCAAGAGAAAGAGAAGAUUCUCCACCUACUAUCUUCCACACGUCUGGUGUGAUCUUCUCCAGUAGAAGCUUUAAACGGAACUGCUGAAUCGGGGUCUGUCUUGUUGUCUGUCUGCCGAGCUUGCAGGCUGGACACUACAAGUUAGCUGGGCAGAACACUAAAACGGUUUACUGUCCUGUUCUGUCUUUACUGUUCCUUCCGGGUGGCCAGCACCGAGGAGCAGCGGGCAGCUGCAGCGCCCGGGGACCAACUCCAGUUCUUCUUUCCGUCGCCUUGCUCAGGGGCACAGGCAGGAGUAUUAACCCUAACAUGCAUGUCUUCUGGAUGGAGGGAGGAAACCGGAGCACCCGGAGGAAACCCACGCAGACACGGGAGGAGGACAUGUAAACUCCACACAGAAAGGAGCUGGGACGGCCUGGGGUUCGAACCCAGAGCCUUCUUGUUGUGAGGCAGCAGCGCUGACCACUGGGCCACCGUGCUGCCCUCAGUAAUCAGGUGUAAAUUUUCACCUCCAAAAACCACGAACACAGCAUAAUAAAACAUCCCGCAACAAUUUCUUAUU